UACGUAAGUGGCGAGCGUUAUCCGGAAUUACUGGGCGUAAAGCGUGCGUAGGCGGUUUAGUGUGUGGGAAUUGAAAGCCCGGGGCUCAACUCCGGAUCUGGUUCCCAAACUGCUAGACUCGAGCGUAUCAGAGGAGAGCGGAAUUCCCGGUGUAGCGGUAAUAUGCGUAGAUAUCGGGAGGAACACCAGUGGCGAAGGCAGGUCUCUGGGCUGACACUGACGCUCAUGCACGAAAGCGUGGGGAGCAAACAGG
rnacentral:rRNA from 1 species